rnacentral:rRNA from 1 species
UUGAACGCUGGCGGCAGGCCUCACACAUGCCAGUCGAACGGUAACAGGAAGAAGCUUGCUUCUUUGCUGACGAGUGGCGGACGGGUGAGUAAUGUCUGGGAAACUGCCUGAUGGAGGGGGAUAACUACUGGAAACGGUAGCUAAUACCGCAUAAUGUCGCAAGACCAAAGAGGGGGACCUUCGGGCCUCUUGCCAUCGGAUGUGCCCAGAUGGGAUUAGCUAGUAGGUGGGGUAACGGCUCACCUAGGCGACGAUCCCUAGCUGGUCUGAGAGGAUGACCAGCCACACUGGAACUGAGACACGGUCCAGACUCCUACGGGAGGCAGCAGUGGGGAAUAUUGCACAAUGGGCGCAAGCCUGAUGCAGCUAUGCCGCGUGUAUGAAGAAGGCCUUCGGGUUGUAAAGUACUUUCAGCGGGGAGGAAGGGAGUAAAGUUAAUACCUUUGCUCAUUGACGUUACCCGCAGAAGAAGCACCGGCUAACUCCGUG